UGAGGAAUAUUGGUCAAUGGGUGAGAGCCUGAACCAGCCAAGUCGCGUGAAGGAAGACUGCCUUAUGGGUUGUAAACUUCUUUUAUAGGAGAAUAAAAAAGGGUAUGUAUACCCUAUUGCAUGUAUCCUAUGAAUAAGCAUCGGCUAACUCCGUGCCAGCAGCCGCGGUAAUACGGAGGAUGCGAGCGUUAUCCGGAUUUAUUGGGUUUAAAGGGUGCGCAGGCGGGAAUUUAAGUCAGCGGUGAAAUCUCGACGCUCAACGUCGAAACUGCCAUUGAAACUGGAUUUCUUGAGUAUAGAUGAAGUAGGCGGAAUUCGUUGUGUAGCGGUGAAAUGCAUAGAUAUAACGAGGAACCCCAAUUGCGUAGGCAGCUUACUAAACUAUAACUGACGCUCAAGCACGAAAGCGUGGGUAUCAAACA
rnacentral:rRNA from 1 species